UACAGAGGGGGCAAGCGUUGUUCGGAAUUACUGGGCGUAAAGGGCGCGUAGGCGGCCUUCUAAGUCGAACGUGAAAUCCCCGGGCUCAACCCGGGAACUGCGUCCGAUACUGGAAGGCUUGAAUCCGGGAGAGGGAUGCGGAAUUCCCAGUGUAGAGGUGAAAUUCGUAGAUAUUGGGAAGAGCACCGGUGGCGAAGGCGGCGACCUGGUCCAUUACUGACGCUGAGGCGCGACAGCGUGGGGAGCAAACAGG
rnacentral:rRNA from 1 species